rnacentral:pre_miRNA from 1 species
CUGUGGGGCACAGAAGGCAGAACUCAGGGAUGAUCUCCACCAUGGCCUGGUCCCCUCUCCUCUUCAUCCUUCUGGCUUAUUGCACAGGUGA